UACGGAGGGUGCGAGCGUUGUCCGGAAUCACUGGGCGUAAAGGGCGCGUAGGCGGCCUGAUAAGUAGGGGGUGAAAUCCUGCGGCUUAACCGCAGGGCUGCCUUCUAAACUGUCAGGCUAGAGCACGGUAGAGGCAGAUGGAAUUCCCGGUGUAGCGGUGGAAUGCGUAGAGAUCGGGAAGAACAUCAGUGGCGAAGGCGGUCUGCUGGGCCGUUGCUGACGCUGAGGCGCGACAGCGUGGGGGAGCAAACAGG
rnacentral:rRNA from 1 species